rnacentral:rRNA from 1 species
UACGUAGGGGGCUAGCGUUGUCCGGAAUCAUUGGGCGUAAAGCGCGUGUAGGCGGUCCGGUAAGUCCGCUGUGAAAGUCGGGGGCUCAACCCUCGGAUGCCGGUGGAUACUGUCGGGCUUGAGUACGGAAGAGGCGAGUGGAAUUCCUGGUGUAGCGGUGAAAUGCGCAGAUAUGAGGAGGAACACCAAUUGCGAAGGCAGCUCGCUGGGACGUUACUGACGCUGAGACGCGAAAGCGUGGGGAGCAAACAGG